rnacentral:rRNA from 1 species
AGUGAACGCUGGCGGCGUGCCUAAUACAUGCAAGUCGAACGGAGUGGCGCACGGGUGAGUAAUAUAUAGCUAAUCUGCCCCUUGCUGGAGGCCACCAGUUAGGAAUGACUGCUAAUACUCCAUAGCAAGGGAGGAGACUAUAUCGUGUCAGCUAGUCGGUGGGGUAACGGCCUACCGGGGCUAUGACGCGUACCUGGUCUGGGAGGAUGAGCAGUCACAUUGGAACUGAGACACAGUCCGAACUCCUACGGGAGGCAGCAGUGUGGAAUAUUGCGAAAAGGGGGAAACCCUGACGCAGCAACGCCGCGUGGGAGAUGACACUUUUGAGAGCGUAAACUCCUUUUGUUAGGGAAACGGUACCUAACGAAUAAGCACCGGCUAACUCGGUGCCAGCCGCCGCGGUAAUAC